AUGUGUACAUACUUAUACACUAGUAUGGUCUCUCAUGAUUUUAUAUUCAGUCUUGCGGAUAUGGAUGUUGGAUUGUAUUUUUGAAGGUGCAUGAAUCAUGUUGUCACAGUUAAUGAAGAUUGUUGGAAAUGGAUACAAUGCAGAGAUGAUUACCUCUUGAUUAUUCUAUUUAUAAAUGGUGGAUGUCACUAGGGUUGAAGAUUAUCACAUUGAUGUCUAAGAGACAGGUAAAAGCUCUUAUGGACAAGAUCAUUAGUCCCAUAUCCAGGACUCCAUUUGGAAGACGAAGAAAUCAACGC